rnacentral:rRNA from 1 species
UUUUAGAAAUUAAUUUAAAGUCUAACCUGCCCACUGAAAAAUUUUUAAAUGGCCGCAGUAUCCUAACUGUGCAAAGGUAGCAUAAUCAUUAGUCUUUUAAUUGAAGGCUGGAAUGAAUGGUUGGAUGAGAUAUUAACUGUUUCAUAAAAAUUUAUAAUAAAAUUUUAUUUUUUAGUUAAAAAGCUAAAAUUUUUUUAAAAGACGAGAAGACCCUAUAAAUCUUUAUAUUUUUUAAAUUUUAAUUAUUUAGAUAAAUUAAAUUAUAAUUAUAAAAAAUAUUUUAUUGGGGUGAUAUUAAAAUUUAAUAAACUUUUAAUUAUUUUAUACAUUAAUUAAUGAAUUUUUGAUCCAUAAAUUAUGAUUAAAAAAUUAAGUUACUUUAGGGAUAACAGCGUAAUUUUUUUAGAGAGUUCAUAUUGAUAAAAAAGUUUGCGACCUCGAUGUUGGAUUAAGAUAUAAUUUUAGGUGCAGAAGCUUAAAUUUAAAGUCUGUUCGACUUUUAAAUUCUUACA